CAGUCGUGGCAAGGGAUUCAGCCGGUUCUGCCGGUGUACUUCCCUCUGCCGGGUCAACAUCAGUUUUGACCGGCGGAAAAUGGCGGGAGGAAUGUGGCACCCUCGGGUGUGUUAUAGCCUCUUGUCGCAUACGUCGGUCGAGACUGAGGAACGCAGCUCGCCUUCAUGGCCGGGGUUCGCCCACGUCCGAGCUUAGGAUAUUGACAUAAUGGCUUUAAACGACCCGUCUUGAAACCGGACCAAGGAGUCUAACAUAUGU
rnacentral:rRNA from 1 species